rnacentral:lncRNA from 1 species
UCUCCAGAUUCCAUGUGAAAUUGACACCUGGUAUUUAUUAAGGUGGAAUCCAUUUCUCAAGGCUCCUGGAAAACAGGGCAUAUCAAAGAAGUUGCUCAAGCUCAAAAUGUUAUUUUUUUCCAGCUGUCCCCAACAACUUGUGGAUAACAUUUCCUAAUCUUCUGGGGUUUGAGAAUUUGUUACAAAAAGUAAUGCUGGACUAGAUUGAAUACUCCAAUUAGGAUAUAUAAUUUUAAUAAGGCAAUAUCCCAAAUUGAUAUUUAUUUUUUUACAGGAUCACCAGAACUUUGUGGCAGGAUUUUGUCUCCACCCAUCAAGUGGAUGAAGGAGGCCACUGAAGUCUGCUCCGCUCUCCAGAGAAAGCCCUAAUCUGAACACAUGUAAUUCAAAUGAAACCAGUGUAUUCAGCUGACUACUGGUAAGGGAAGGCAGUUUACAAGAAGCAGGAAAUACUCCCCAUUUAUCAGCUUGCCUGGGUUUCAUCAUGUGGUAAAUGCAAGGAAUGUGAGAAUGGAAAGUAAAAUUAAAGAGAAGAGGAUCGUCAUGAUGUCUGUUCUGAUUCCUCUGAAACUUCCUGUAACUUUUGUUUUUCCGAGCACUGAGUGAAGACUUCAGCCUGACACUCCAGAGAAGAAUGCAGUGAGCACAGGGGUGAGACUGAAAUAUACAGCUUGCAAUUCUCUGGCUGUAUUUGGUAUUUUAAGUAGAAUCUGGCAGUAGUUGGCCCAUAUCUGCGUCAAAAACAUCCAUGUUCCGAGAAAAAGUGAGUUUUCUUAAAUGUCAUAUUUCCUUUUGCCUUUGAAAAACUGAAUAUCUUUAUCAUUACUACUAAUAAAAUUAGUUUGUGACAUUUCCCCCCCUUCUUA